CUUUUUAAAUUCUUUUUCUCUUUUUCUUAUUUCUCAUUCUGUUUUCUUUCUCGCCGAAACAUCCCCGCGCGCCUCUCCUCUCCCUCACUCCCGAACCCGACGCCAAAAGGAGCCCUAACCGCCGGCUACUCGGCGGUUCUCUCCUCUUCUUCCUCAUCCCCUGCCCCUCACGACGACAGCAUUCUCAGCCCUAGCACCGCCGCCCGACCGCCUGCCCUAGCCACCCGACGCCGACCACAGAAGCCGACGCCGACCCCAAUCGCCGGUGCCCUAGCCUCUGCCCCGACUCCAGUGACGCUGAUUCUUCUCUCCUCUGUCCAGCCGAAGCCUCGUCUGCCGUAGCCCUUGCUGUGGAGUUUCCAGCGCCGCCGCUGCAACUCACAGAGCCUCCCUUCCUCUUCUCGCGGACACCUGGAGCCGCCGAAAAUCGAGCAUCCGAACCCUAGGUUGGGUCCCUGAGCGCUGGCCGGAAUUUCUCUUCUGGUGUCUCUGUUUGACAGUGCCGAAGACAAGGAGUUGUGCCCUAGUUUUGCUUUUCACAGUGGUUCUGUCUUCAUUGUGAUCUGCCCUAGCAGAAUUGGGAAGGUCACGGAUUGGUGAGGUUUGGUGUAUUGUGGGGUGUUUUUGAUUUUUGGCAGCAACCCCAUCCCGCAGCGGUAAGGACUUUGACGCGAGACGAGUAUCUCGGAGUCAGAUCGGACCUUUCUA